UACAGAGGUGGCAAGCGUUGUUCGGAAUUACUGGGCGUAAAGGGCGCGUAGGCGGUUCGUCAAGUCCUGUGUGAAAUCCCCCGGCUCAACUGGGGAACUGCACAGGAAACUAGCGGGCUUGAGUUCGGGAGAGGGAAGCGGAAUUCCAGGUGUAGCGGUGAAAUGCGUAGAUAUCCGGAGGAACACCGGUGGCGAAGGCGGCUUCCUGGACCGACACUGACGCUGAGGCGCGAAAGCUAGGGGAGCAAACAGG
rnacentral:rRNA from 1 species